rnacentral:rRNA from 1 species
ACGCUGGCGGCGUGCCUAAUACAUGCAAGUAGAACGCUGAAGGAGGAGCUUGCUUCUCUGGAUGAGUUGCGAACGGGUGAGUAACGCGUAGGUAACCUGCCUGGUAGCGGGGGAUAACUAUUGGAAACGAUAGCUAAUACCGCAUAACAGUAGAUGUUGCAUGACAUUUGCUUAAAAGGUGCAAUUGCAUCACUACCAGAUGGACCUGCGUUGUAUUAGCUAGUUGGUGGGGUAACGGCUCACCAAGGCGACGAUACAUAGCCGACCUGAGAGGGUGAUCGGCCACACUGGGACUGAGACACGGCCCAGACUCCUACGGGAGGCAGCAGUAGGGAAUCUUCGGCAAUGGACGGAAGUCCGACCGAGCAACGCCGCGUGAGUGAAGAAGGUUUUCGGAUCGUAAAGCUCUGUUGUAAGAGAAGAACGAGUGUGAGAGUGGAAAGUUCACACUGUGACGGUAUCUUACCAGAAAGGGACGGCUAACUACGUGCCAGCAGCCGCGGUAAUACGUAGGUCCCGAGCGUUGUCCGGAUUUAUUGGGCGUAAAGCGAGCGCAGGCGGUUAGAUAAGUCUGAAGUUAAAGGCUGUGGCUUAACCAUAGUACGCUUUGGAAACUGUUUAACUUGAGUGCAAGAGGGGAGAGUGGAAUUCCAUGUGUAGCGGUGAAAUGCGUAGAUAUAUGGAGGAACACCGGUGGCGAAAGCGGCUCUCUGGCUUGUAACUGACGCUGAGGCUCGAAAGCGU